rnacentral:rRNA from 1 species
UGGGGGAUAUUGCACAAUGGGCGAAAGCCUGAUGCAGCGACGCCGCGUGGGGGAUGAAGGCCUUCGGGUUGUAAACUUCUUUUGCUCUGAACAAGGCGCACCAUGGGGUGUGUUGAGUGUAGGGGUUGAUUAGCGCCGGCUAACUACGUGCCAGCAGCCGCGGUAAUACGUAGGGCGCGAGCGUUGUCCGGAAUUAUUGGGCGUAAAGGGCUUGUAGGUGGCUGGUUGCGUCUGUCGUGAAAGCUCAUGGCUUAACUGUGGGUUUGCGGUGGGUACGGGCUGGCUUGAGUGCAGUAGGGGAGGCUGGAAUUACUGGUGUAGCGGUGGAAUGCGCAGAUAUCAGGAGGAAUACCGGUGGCGAAGGCGGGUCUCUGGGCUGUUACUGACACUGAGGAGCGAAAGCAUGGGGAGCGAACAGG